AAGUCAUAACAAGGUUUCCGUAGGUGAACCUGCGGAAGGAUCAUUACAUUUAGUAGCUUGCUACUGUUAGGGAGGCCGGUUAGUCUGUAUAGUAUCACUACUGAUGAGCAGCACGGCCUUCUGUCUGUACCCUUGUCUUUUGCGCACUCAUGUUUCCUCGGCUGGGUUUAACGCCCGCCGGCUGGACAACUCUAUAACCUUUUUAAUUUUCAAUCAGCGUCUGAAAAACCUAAUAAUUACAA
rnacentral:misc_RNA from 1 species